AAAGAAAAGUCAUUUUCUUCUCACCCUCCUCUCAAUCUGUUUCUCUCCCUUUAAAACUUAAACAUUACCCCCAUCCUAUUUCUUACUUCAAAGUUUGAACUCCAUAUUUAGCAGGCACCACCACCAUUGGAUCAUGAUCAUCUGUAAGACGGUGGUUCCUGGAAGAAGGAACUAGGUUUGCUUGACUCGAAGAAUAGAGAACGAAGUUGCUAGAGAUUGUAGAUAGUUGGAAGGUAUCUUGGCCAUUCUCGGAAGAAUAGCAUGAUUUGGUUAGAAACCUAGUUGUCCCUCUUGACAUUGGCUCAUGGUACAUUUUGGUUGUUAUUGGCCAUAUUUUGAUAUGUUUUGUAAUUGGUCAUGUUCUUGUCUUUUGGAGUUGAUAAGGAUAGUUGGUUUGGUUGUAGCAUGUCAAAUGGGUAAUCGACCCAUAUAGUUGCGUGGUCGAUCAUGGAUCAAACUAAUUCGGCAAAUAUGAAUGUUUUCGGGUUAACUCUCUUACUUUCAA